CUUUUUUUUCUCUCUCUUUUGUUCUCUCUUUAUUGCACAAAAGUUUAGAGAAAUCGAAACUAGAAUGGCUUCAAAACUUCUACGGCGAUUUUUAAAUUUUUUCAGAUGUGGAAAAAAAGUGAAAUCAUCAUUUGAAGAAAUCAAUUAUAAUCCUACUAAAAACCUUGAGAAACCUCCAAAACAGAAGAGCUCAGCAAUUGAAGUGAUUGAUCA